ensembl:lncRNA
CUCACUAGUUAACUUCUAUGUUUGGAACCUCUAGUAUGAAGCUAGCGUUCUGGUCGCGCGGCAGAAGUAUAACUUUUAAAAAGAAAGAAGAAAUCAAAGUAACAUGAAGUCAUGAAGUGGCUGAGCAGCAACGAACACUAUGUGAACUCACGCCAGCCCACAUGGGCACAGCAGCAGCAGCCCCUGACCUCAGGCUGCACUGGGCACCUCUUCCUUAAGCCCUGGGGCUUCCCUGUGGAUGCCAGCACUUGACACUUCAGAGAACCCGUUGAACUCCCGGACAAACACAACCUGGAAGCACAGCAAGUUCGUGCUGUCUGGAGCCUUUCAUGAGUGACAGGAGCCAGUGGCUAAAUUCAUCUCCCUUCUUGAAUCACACUUGACAGCUAGCAGUGGUCAGCUCAGGCAGACAAUCUCCAACGCCCUCCCCUGCUCUCCCUUAUGUCAGCUUCCCCAGAAUGGUACUGCCUGAGAAAACAGCGCAGAAACUUCUCAGUGUUCUCCUUGUGGGGAACAUAAGCCAAGAGGCUUGUUUCCAGGGGAGGUUCUCGGAAGCAGACCCUUGUACUAGGACUUCGAGUUGAUUGUUUACCCAAGUUUGGCCCAAGUCCAUCUCACAAUGAGGUCCAUGAGUGCAUGAAUCCACCCUGUGGUUAUUUUCCUCCACCUUUUAAUUUAUUUUCCUCCACCUUUUAAUAUAUAUUUUGGAUAGAUGCACUUCAUCAUUUGGUAGAAUUCACCUCGAUGGCUUCUGAACCUGUGAAUUAAGGGUGAUUAUGGUAUAAAUGGCCAAGUGAAAACACUUGAAACUUACCACUGUAUCAUGGAAAGCCCUGUAGAGAACUGUACCUAUGCCAAAAACUUAAGAGGGUACAUGAUCAUUUUCCCCCAUCAUAUCCCCAUUGAUUUCUCUUUGUCUCUAUAAAAAUUUACAUGUCUAAAGCAAGUGGAUGUGGUAAAUUAAAAAAUUACCCCAAAUUGUGAGUUAAGUAAACCUAUUUUCUUUAUAAAUUUCCCAGCCUUGGGUAUUUUGUUAUAGCAGUAAAAAUGGAGUUAAGUCAGGCCCCAAC